rnacentral:rRNA from 1 species
CCUACGGGUGGCAGCAGUGAGGAAUAUUGGUCACUGGGCGGAAGCCUGAACCAGCCAAGUAGCGUGCAGGAUGACGGCCCUCGGGUUGUAAACUGCUUUUAUACGGGAAUCACGCGCCUUACGUGUAGGGCUUUGCAUGUACCGUAUGAAUAAGGACCGGGUAAUUCCGUGCCAGCCGCCGCGGUAAUACGGGAGGUCCGGGCGUUAUCCGGAUUUAGUGGGUUUAAAGGGAGCGUAGGCCGCAUGUCAAGCGUGCUGUGAAAUGUCCGGGUCUAACCCGGGCCUUGCAGCGCAAACUGGCGGGCUUGAGUCCGCGGAAAGCAGGCGGAAUUCGUCGUGUAGCGGUGAAAUGCUUAGAUAUGGCGAAGAACCCCGAUUGCGAAGGCAGCUUGCUGCAGCGGAACUGACGCUGAUGCUCGAAAGCGCGGGUAUCGAACAGGAUUAGAUACCCCAGUAGUC